rnacentral:rRNA from 1 species
AUGGCAGCGACGGCGGCCGCUAGGGGCACCGCUUCUCGCUCCCCUCUCCUCAUCCACCACCACCGACUCCCUCAGGUUCCAGCCGGUGGGGGAGGUUCGUUGAGGGUGGGCGCGCUCGGGGCCGGACGGGAUUGGAGACGACGGGUCCGGGUUUUCGCGCGCUAUUCCUCCCAGCCACAAGACUUCUCCAGUCGGCUCCAAGAUAGAGCUGGUGAAUUGCCGAAAUUAGUCGAGGAUCUUCUCCAGACGUCGAUUAGCACAGGGCCUCGAGGUGCCUUUAGGAUGGCACAAGGGAUCCAAGCUCUCCUUGGGGUUGGUGGGGAGUGGCUAAACGACUUCUCGAAGACAGCUAACACAUCAGAAGGAAUUCCAGCUCAGAUGCGGCUUGGUUUGCUUUCUCCUCUUUACCUCAGAAGGCUUUUUGAACGCAUGGGUGCAACUUAUAUCAAGCUAGGUCAGUUCAUAGCGUCUGCACCGACUUUCUUUCCUGCAGAAUAUGUUGAAGAAUUCCAGAAUUGUUUUGACCGAGCACCACCUGUUCCUUAUAGCGAGAUCGAGUCGAUAUUGCGUGAGGAGUUGCAGCGGCCAUUGGAUAGUGUCUAUGAGUACAUUGAUCCCGUGCCAAUAGCAUCUGCUUCAAUAGCACAGGUUCAUGGGGCUAGGUUGAAGAGCUCUCAGAAGGAUGUGGUGAUUAAAGUCCUGAAACCUGGAAUUGAAGAUACUUUGGUUGCCGAUCUGAAUUUUAUCUAUCUUGUUGCACGUGUUUUGGAGUUUCUAAGCCCUGAAUUAGAGAGGACAUCACUGGUAGCUAUCAUCAAGGACAUAAAGGAAUCAAUGCUUGAGGAAGUUGAUUUUAGAAAGGAGGCUGUAAAUAUGGAGGCUUUCCAGAGAUACAUCGAAGCAAUGGGAUUUGAUAGGCAGGCCAAAUCUCCAUUUGUGUAUCAGCACUGCAGCACAAAGCGUGUCUUAACUAUGGAAAGAUUGUAUGGCGUUCCACUCACCGAUCUUGAUUCUAUAAGGUCUCUUGUUCCUGAUCCUGAGUUGACUUUAGUCACUGCCCUCAAUGUCUGGUUUGGAAGCUUGAUCUCAUGUGAAUCCUUCCAUGCGGAUGUGCAUGCAGGAAACCUAUGGUUACUUCGUGAUGGGCGUGUUGGGUUUAUUGAUUUUGGAAUUGUUGGUCGAAUAUCCCCAAGGACUUGGGCUGCUAUGGAGAUUUUUUUGGCUUCUUUCGCAACUGAGGAUUACAAUGCUAUGGCAUCGGCCCUUUCCGAAAUGGGUGCUACAGGGAAUGAUAUAGAUGUUGACUCCUUUGCAAAGGACUUGCAAAAGAUAUUCUCGUCGCUACAGCAGGAGUUGGAUACUGAAAUUAUAGUGGCAGCUGCAAGAAGUUCUGAUGCUACAGCUGUAUCUGCUAAUGUUGUUGUAGACGAGAGGCAGAUGAAUGCACUGUUUCUUGAUCUGGUAAGGGUUAGCGAGUCAUAUGGGCUGAGAUUUCCUAGGGAAUUCGCUCUUCUCAUGAAGCAGCUUCUUUAUUUUGAUCGGUACACGAGGCUGCUGGCUCCCAGCAUGAACAUGCUGCGAGAUGAGAGGAUUAACAUUACUUCCAACAAGCAGACCAGAAGAAUGAAUUGA